rnacentral:rRNA from 1 species
AUUGAACGCUGGCGGCAGGCCUAACACAUGCAAGUCGAACGGUAACAGGAAGACGCUUGCUUCUUUGCUGACGAGUGGCGGACGGGUGAGUAAUGUCUUGGAAACUGCCUGAUGGAGGGGGAUAACUACUGGAAACGGUAGCUAAUACCGCAUAACGUCGCAAGACCAAAGAGGGGGACCUUCGGGCCUCUUGCCAUCGGAUGUGCCCAGAUGGGAUUAGCUAGUAGGUGGGGUAACGGCUCACCUAGGCGACGAACCCUAGCUGGUCCGAGGGGAUGACCAGACACCAUGGAACUGAGACACGGUCCACACUCCUACGGGAGGCAGCAGUGGGGAAUAUUGCACAAUGGGCGCAAGCCUGAUGCAGCCAUGCCGCGUGUAUGAAGAAGGACUUCGGGUUGUAAAGUACUUUCAGCGGGGAGGAAGGGAGUAAAGUUAAUACCUUUGCUCAUUGACGUUACCCGCAGAAGAAGCACCGGCUAACUCCGUG